rnacentral:lncRNA from 1 species
UCUGCCCCCACGGGCAUCACUCCGUUGUAAGCUAAAUAUCCAUCCCUGUACUUCCCAUCAGUCAAUUAAUAGAAAGUCAUUUCGGCUCUUCAAGCCGGCCAAAUCUCGUGUUGCUUUAGCCAUUCGGCUCUUCUUCCGGCUUAAUUUCCAGCCUACUCUGUACAUUCGUCUCAUUCCAACCGAACCGAAACAGAUAGUAGCGGUUUUCGAAUCCGGCUGACUCGAUCCCUCGUCAGCCGAAUCGCUUGAU